UUCUCUUUCUUCCUCUCCUUUUGUUCUUUUGUUUAUCAAUCCUUCUUCCCAUUCUCUAAAACCUAAAAACAAAUUGCUCUUCCUCCGUCGUCCCUAUCUGCCACUGGGCUUUCUACUGCCUCCCUUCACCUCUCAUUUCCUUUUGAACCAAGGUCUGAAGAAACUCCUCCUCCGUCGUCCCUAUCCGUCGCUGGGCUUUCUACCGCCUCCCUUCACCUUUCCUUUCCUUUUGAACCGAGGUUGAAGAAACUCCUCCUCCGUUGUCCCUAUCUGCGGCCAGGCUUUCUACCGCCUCCCUCCAAGUCUCCUUUCCUUUUGAACCGAGGUCUGAAGAAGCUCUAAAAGAUACCAGAACCCGAAGCCAACAACUCCCAAAGAAAAAUUGAAGUCGAGCCUCGUCGAUUGUGAACCCUCCAAACUCUGGGGAUUUCUCUCCCUUCGAUUUGGACAUUGUUUGGUGUGACUCUGUUUUUGGGACAGAAUUGUCAUGAUUGGAUGAUUGUUGUUUUUGAAGGUGGCAUUGUUUGAAAACUCUUCUCUGUUUUUGGGAAUAGAUAAGAAGUGGAAAUUGCUUUGUUCGUCA